CUCCCCACCUGGGUCGCCAGGAGAGCCACACAUUGCGUCGGCGCAAGAGUUUCUGGGUAAUCCUUCCCCGUCACUACUAUGACGUGAUCAGGGGCCGUCAGGUUCUCACCAGCGCGAAAAAAGUCCCACGCGCGCAGAGCUGUGUUCUGGGAAACAAAGUCCGCGACCUGCGAGCGGAUGCCUGGGAUUAGGGAUUAGUGCGUGCGUGCGUGCGUGGGGUGUGUGUGUGUGUGUGUGUGUGUGUGUGUGUGUGUGUGUGUGUGUGCGCGCGCGUGCGUGGUGUGUGUGUGUGUGUGUGUGUGUCUGGCGAUUUCUGGAACUGUGCUUAAAUUUUUUGUAAUUUUUGAAACAGCCUCACUAAAUUGCCCAAACUGAGCUGGAAUUUGUGAUCCUCCUGCUUCAGUUUUCUAGAAUGCCUGGAUAAAGGCUACCGAGCCCAAAUCUCCAGUGGAAGGCAUCAUUAAAAUCUUAGUCUUGAGAUUCUAGCAGCCGAGCCUAGGGGACCUCUGCUGGAGGUGGAAGGCACUGCGGUGUUUGCUACAUAGAUGAGACCAGACCCAAAAGGAGAGCAGGGUGUAGGUGGAAGGGCCUGGGGUUCUCCAGAAUAGAGAAGUCCCUCGCAUCUUAGUUUCUCACACAGGCCACACUCUACCCUAGAGAAGUCAGACCACUGCUACUCCUGGGUUCUGCUCUGAUCACAGCAAAUCCAAAAUGGUGACUGCUGCAGCCCUGAGCCAGCCAACAGAAAGGCAGCUCUUGAAACAGGGCACUGUCCUCAUCCACUUUACUCACCGGGAUCUGGCACCCUGCGACUUGUGGCUCUUCCCCAAAGUCAAAAUGACCACGAGACAGGAACAGUUUGAAUCCAUUCAGGGCAUCUAAGCAGCCAAGACAGCUCAGCUGAACACACAGAGGACUGCAGAGCUGCACAAAGUGGCAAGGACAUGGGAUGAGUGCAUUCCAGGGUUGGUUUGGUGUUCAUGAAGUUCUUCAGCUGUUCUUUGUCAUGGAAGUAUCAUAUUUCACCAUCAAUUUUGAAUGAUAAAGCCAGGAUCUCAUACUCUCCCAAGGAUUGGAUGUUGUGUAGUCAACCAGCUCCUUGGAUGGCAAAGCUCCCCAGGCUGAUAGUGGGUCCCCCUAUGGCCUAGGUAGGCCUCAAACCUCCUUAGCAGGGCUGCUCCCUCCUCCAUGCAGUGGCAGUAGUGCUGGUGCUGUCCACGUCAAAAGAAGGUCGCAGAAGAGACUGGAGCAGGUUCCAGAGGCUUGGCCCAGCUCCCUCCUUCCAGCCGGCAGCUGUGGUGCUUUCCCCGGGUGGAAGAGGGGCCGGGCAGGGCUGGACCAGAGUCCCUCUUCUUGGCUGUGCCCUCUCCUUCCCGUUUUUAUUCUUUUAAUUUUGUAAUUUUAACAACUAUUAAUAGGAUGACAAUAUGUAAUGUGUCAACUAGCAAUUUUAUGAUGUUAAUUUUUUUAAAUUCUGUAUUAUUCUACUUUUUUCUUUUUUCUAUUUUGUUUUUUCUUUAAUUUUCUUUUCUCUUUCUUUAAAUAAAAACAUUGGAAAAAGUAAUAUAUAGGGUAGUCCCUGCAGACACUUAAAAAAGGUAGAGCACAAAUUAACAUUCAGUGUCAUCCAAGAAAUGAUUCAACCCAAAGUCUUUCAUUUUCUGAGUGAAUUACUCAGAUACUCUUGAGAUAAUAAUCAGGGAGUUGUCUAAAGUCCUGUUUAAAAUCAGGUCUUUGGGAAUCAGACUCUUUCUGGUGUACACAGGGAAGGAAUAAUGAAAUAAAAGUGCAUAAUUGCCCCAGAUUCCCACUCCAAUCUGUGUAAGGAAGAAAAUCCCUAUAGCCAAGUUCCCAGAAAUCAUUUUCUGUCUCAUUUCUGUUUAGGGUCAACAGAUUCAGGCAAGAAAAUUACAAGUUUCUGUUAUUUGUACUAAUGUGGCACAGAUUAAAAUAGUCAUCCCUUCCUAAUUUUUAUAAUUAUUGACUGAAGUGAAUAUAUAUCAAAGGUUGAUUCUUUAUUUCCAACAGUAUUUUAUGUAUCUCUCAACAGUGUUGCAUAUAUUUAAGGAAAACAAUGUUUGAGAUAAUUACUAACAACUUUUAAAAUUUUUUCCCAUUAAUUCAAAUGAUUGUCAAAUAUAUGAAGCAAUAUUUGAUUAUUCUAUUUCAUAGUCUUUUUCAAAAAUUAAGGAGUAUGUUUAUAAUCUGGUUUCUUUCAACAAUAAAUACAACAUCCAUCAAUAAAUACCACACAUAUAUGAAAAAACUGAUUAAUGUAUUUGUUUAACAAUACUUUGAUAAAAGCUUUCUGUUAAGAUUCAAGAUUUGUUCUACAGCAGGAUGUUUGAAAAUAAGAAUACAAUAAUUAUUGAAAAACCACUUAUGCAAAAGUGUUUUCAUGUCUGGAGCUUUGGGUUACCACUAGAGACAUGGUUAAAUCCAAAUCAACUCAAAAGGCAACCAGCCCCAAAGAAGGCCCAGAGAAGCAUCCAGAAAAGCCCAUCACAGAGACAGGAAUCUGCUAAAGUGUAGACCCCAAGUACUUGAUGGACAUGCAUUUUUCCCAGAAGCACAAGAAAUACCUGAUGUAGAUGCAGACAAAUGAGGUCAAGGACAGAGGCACCCAUGCUCAAGUUAUUAAGGUCCCCUAACAUCUCAAGGAAGUUACACUCAAGAUCCCAAAGUGUCAGCUGCAAGCUUGAUCAAGUACCCUACAUCCCCUACUCUGCUCAGCAAGCAAGCCCAUGUUCAUAUUUCCAGGAGUCUCAGAUUCUACCAGCCAAGAGGAAGACCUGUGCUCAACCCUACAAGUGCCAAGCAGCAGUUCUGGUUCCCUCACAGGCUCACAAAAGUGCCCAGUACUCCAUGACUCCUCCACACUACAGGUCUGUCUGCCAAUGUGAAGACAGAAAGGCUCAUCUCAGUCUGCAUGAGGCUGAUGUCCUUCUGUGAGGUUCGCACAAACAUACCUGAACCAGGAAAAAAUGUUAUCCGAUAGUCAGUAUCACAGGAAGUUAAAAUGAAGCAAAAUGAGUGCAAAGAAUAAAAUAUCAUUUUAAAUCUAAUUGUAUAUUUCUCACAUUCAAUUAAGGGAAUCAGAACUAGAAUUCAUAGAAAGGUAUAAUAUUUUCCAAGAAAUAAGUAUAAAAUGUAUUGCACUGUAACCUGUGAAUGUAAAUUUAAAUGUAUAUUUUAAAAUUUAAGAAUUUAAAUAAAGUUUAUACCUAAACAAAAA